GAGCCAGCUGCUUAAUGAGCCCUGGGAAUCUGCAGGCUACAGGGGAUAGAGCAGAUCCCAGCACUAAAGGAAAAACCUGUAAGGUGCAUUCAGACAGCUGAUGAUAAUGGAUGUGGGAGAUGAAGAUGCUGCCAUCAAGGAAAAAGCACACAUUUUAAUUGAGGAUGUAAUCAGGGGUGCAAAAGAGCAUCUGCGAGAUUUGCAAGAAAAAGAGAGAGAAGCUGAGUACAUCAUCCAAAACAUUCAAUGGGCCUCGUGCCAGGACUUUACAGUGGAAAGAGGACAGCAGCAAAUUGAGGAAUACAUGUCAUCAUCUGUACUAGAGAGUGGAAGUCUGAUAGUGUGGUGUAUGUUCAGCAGACGUGGGAGUUUCAUGAGAGCUGGCUUCACUGGUCAGACUACCUCCAGGAAGAAGAACUGAAGUACAGCAGAAGGUACCAUUACCGGGUUCGCUGGAGCAUCCCAACAUGUAGGAAGCCCAUUCCACGAGCAACAGCAUGCAUCUAUUUCAUCAUCGAGAUCUCCAAAAUUAAACCACCUACCUUGCCGGUUGAGGUAUUCUUCAUUUUGGAGUCAAAUAGGCUCAUUCACAGGUAUAUUUUGUUCUGUAACUUGUUUUUAAGCAACAAACCAGUGUAGAGGGGCCCUAGCAACUCUGCAUAAAACACCGUUAAUUUCAGGUAUGUCCAGCUAGAUUAGAAAUGGGUACAGAUACACUCAGCUAUGGUGGGAUGGGGCCCAUCAGGGAGUAAGUUCCAGCAGGCGGAUGCUGUCUGGCCCUGCCCUGCUAUUAACUGCUCUUACACCGCUGAGGAUAUUGUGCUUUGGCCAUACCCUGCCACCAGGGCUGAGUGCUUGUGACAUAAGUCAACUACGGUGGCUCUGUAAAUGCUGGGGCUUCCCAACAGGGGGAGUUCCAGGCUGUUUCUGGCCUUUGUGGCACAAUACGGGUGAAGCAGGGUUACGCUUCUAAUCCGUGAUGUGUAUGUGGAAUGCGAGUAACAACGCACAGCCUUAUACAAACUGGGAGCCCAACCUAGCUCCAGCAGCAUUUGAACACGAUCUAUGUAAAUUUAUCUUUUUAUAUCACAAGCGAGUUCUAGGACAGUACUCCAGCAGAGGCAGGAAAGUGAGCUGGCUAUAGCCGAGUUAUUAAACUCCUGUCCAUGUGACUCAGGGAAACCACACUAAAAUCCCACCAAGCAAAAAAAAACCAAAAACCCACCACUCGAACCCCACCGAGCUAGCAUAGUUCCUUAUCCCAGCAUGGACAUGUUCCAUGGGUGUCUAUUUCCUGCCUACUGAAUUAGUGAUGGAUUUACACAGGCCUAAAACGCCUCAUUCUUCCAGGGGAUAGGCUUGCCCUCUUUCCAGCUGACUGCUAUCUUUGUUCUUAAACUGUUUGUUCUGUUUUUUUCUAGACCAGGACAGUGUCGGUUUAGAGAAAAGUGGCUCAAAGACAUCAUUGAAAGCAAGAGGAUUCUCAUGGACAGUAUAACUUUCUAAAUAAACAUUUGCUUCAGAUUAAAUCCAAUUCAAAAGGGCACCUACAAUCUGUUGGUGUUAUAUGGAAAUAAACUAAGGGCACUACAAUAG